ensembl:lncRNA
AUUAAGGUAAAUAAAGGUGUCUGUCUUAGUUUUAUAUAUUAAAAUAUAUUAAAUAAAUUUAUUGGCAUUUUUUUCUCCUAAAACUUACUUAGUGUGAACCUAACUUAAAAUAAAGGUAAAAUGCUGCCUGAAAUAACGUCCAAGCAUCUUCGACUAGGAUAACAUUUUCACUACUUGUGUGACACUGUGUGUUGCAUGGAGUAGGAUUUGGGUACACAGUAAAUGCUUCUAAACGGCAUUGUGCAUAUUAGCAUAUCCAAUAAUCUGAACCAUGUUCAGCAAACUUAAUUCAGGAAAGUGAUGUUCUACAGUUACUGCUGUUGUGUUUGAGUGAGUGUGGCGCACAUCUUUACCAAGAGUGAUUGAUGCCGAGUAGUGUCUGUCUGAGAGUGACACUGCUGACUUGUGAAACUGUCCUUGAUUUUGUCAGUCAAUUGUCCAAAGGACAGGUUGAAUUGUGGAGGCUAAAUGAGUGCCAAAAACAGGGUUGCAAAUGCAGGAUUCCUUUUACCCAGUCUACCCAGCCAUAUUGUGAGGCUAGAGUAAGAGGUCACUUCAAAUGAACAUGUCACUUUUGCUUCAUUUUAGCACUGUGAUUAUUUGGAAAUGGGCAAACUUGACUAAAAGGAUUUAAGUGAGACCCUUAGGUAAGAAGGAUAUGACUUUUAAAAUUUGGCCUUCUAAUGAUUUUAGUUGCUCUCUUUUUCACCUUGAAUAUAAUCCCUGUCAGUGUUUGUCAUGGAAUGGGUAGCUCUAGCCCACCCACCCCUCCAUUUCUCAGUACCAUUAGCUGUAUGCUAAGGAAGAGUUUUCUUAGGACAAGUCUGUCCCCUUUAAUGGAGCACCAACAUUGCUUGCAGAGUUUAACAUAAUUGGCAGACUUCAGCUACCGUCAAAUUCUCAAAUAUCUCAAUAAGUAACAGGAGUCCGUUAUUAAGUUCAUGGCUGAUCAUAAACUUUAAUUUUAGCUAAAAUAUGUCUUCCCAAUUGCUAAUUCCUAUUUACCAGACUUUCUAAAAUAAACAAAUAAACAACCUGGAAAUGGUGUGUUAUUAAGUAGUAAAAAUGCCAGAAUUGGUCAGCUGAUAAAAAGGACUCAGACUGGAAUAUUCUGCCCCUGAAUAACAGACCGUUGACUGUACUUUAUGCAGUAAUUAGCAGUUCGUUUGUCCCUGUGUCUUAGUCCAGAGGGAAUAGUACCUAACUGGCCAAAAUGGCCCUUAGAAUUUCCUCUUUUCUUGCAUGUAAUACAGACGUUUUCAGUCUCGUUAUCCUAAUGGGAGUUUGUCACUGACCUAAACAGUGAAAGUAAUGGUCGCCAGUAUAAAAUAUUUGACACUGGUGGAAACUUGAAUUUUGUGUUUUUACGAAAAUACAUUUAUGAGAAUAUGUAAUAUACCUAAAGAGGGUGUUUUAUAUAUACACACGUUUGUUAUGAAGUAUUAAAAAUGGGGGGGGUUGUCUUUUAAUGGAUAGCAUUUUCCUGACUGAACUGUUUCUUUGAGUUGUGUGACCAAGUCUAGGAUUUAUUUGACCAAUGAUAAGAUUCAGAACCACUUACAUGGAAAGAAACACUUGUUUGGUCUUAUUCUUGGUAUUUUAAAGAUUAUUUUGAUAAUUUUAAUAGAAUGUGUAAUUUUUAAAUACACAAAAGUAGUAUUGAUUAUACAAUGAUUAUUUAACGUCUUUUCUGGAUGUAUCUAUAUGUAUAUAGACAGUAAUAUAUUUAUAAAACAAAUAUACUUUAUGUUGCAUUUUUUAGUUUAUAAUAGAUGUAAGGAUGACUCUGUAUCUCUCUCUCUCUCUCUCUCUCUCUCUCUUUCUCUGUGUGUGUGUGUGUGUGUGUGUACAUGCACACACAUAUCAAUGUCUUUUCUGUCUGUCUGCCUUUCUAUGUGUGAAAACUGAGCCCCCUUUCCCUGACUUGCUGGUAUUUAAAGUGUAUUUGGCUUUUGUUUCUCCUUUUCCUAGCCUGUUUCCUUAUUCAAGAUAAAAUAAGAGGGACAGUUUUCUAGUCUCCCUGUUGCCAGGUGGCUCUUCCAUUUUAUUAAUCUCUAAUUCUUAAAGAAUGACUGACAUCAAGCAGACUGUGGCUAGAGAUAAUGUUUAUAUUCCAAAUAUAUUAAAAGUGAAAACCACAACUAUGGUGUUAAACUUUCAGGAUACACACCAAUGAACAAAAUAAAGCAUAGAAGAUUAGUCAUGCACACUUCAGAGUGCAAGGAAGCCAUGUACCUGUGUGUGAAAGCCAAGACACUUUUGUUGUUCUAGACGCCUUAGGAAUUAAACCCUAGGUGAUGCACCAACAACUCUUUCUGUGUAGGAUCUGGUAGUAAGUAAUUCAGGCUUCUCAGAGAAUCAAAUAGUCUCUUUAAAACUGCUCACCUUUGCCUUUACAGUGUAAAACCCACAGGCAACAUAUAGAUACAAAUGUGACGUUUUUAAAUAAAAUUUUAUUUAUAGAAAUAAACAUCAGGCCAGUUUUUACCUGUGGGCCAUUCCUCAGCCCUGUCCUUGAGGGAGAAAGCCAGGCAUAUUAUGCAGUAAGUUCUGCUGUGUGUUAAUAUAGUGCAUAUUAACUGUAUCUCAGCAAACAUCUAGAGGUAGCCUGAUAGUUACUGGUGUCCUUCAGAAGAUGAUGUACAACAGUCAUUUCAAAGUACCUUCAUGCAUUUAUGUUACAUUUGUCACACCCGUCAUUUCAGGUGUUUCUUACCUAACCAACAAAAAAUCUGCAAAAAGAGAAUAAUAUCGGAAUUUUUCCUUGAGCUUUGAAUUCCUAUUUAUGAAUAAGGACCCUUUAUCUUUUGUUUUUUAAUGGCCUCAUGGACCAAAAACAGUCUGUUUUAAAACUUAGCCUGUAAUUAGCCACAAAUUUUUCAAAGAUUGUAUUUGACAGUUACAUUUUUCUGUUGAUUUUGUCUUCUGAUACUUAACAGACCUACCCUCCUUUAUAAGUGGUUUUAAAGAUUAACAUACUGUAAUUCCACAGUAUAGGAUUUUGCUGUCAUAUUUAAAACUGAGUAGUCUACUAGCUAUAAUGAGUGUAUUUGUUACAUUGUCAGUCUUAAUAAGAAACAUGUAUGUCUUCUUUCUAUGUUCAAAUGCUCACUAAAGGGUUUUUAGAUAUGUUAGGGACUGCCAUGAGAGGGAUGUUCUUACGAUCACCCGUGAGUCUGAAUUGACUGGAGGUGUACACGGCUGAGCAUAUCCGUUCCCAGUGCUUCAUUCAUGGUACCACAGCAAUAACACUAUCUCCAUAGGAUUCUUCAAUAGCGAUGAACACCACCACCCACUUAAGUAGUGACACUUCCUUUUAAAAUGGGAAUGCAACUCUGGCUUUAACAGUGUUUACUGGUUUUUUUUUUUUUUUUUUUCUGUAAUGCUCUCACCUCCUUGCCUGUUACUCCUGUUAUGACAACACUGUCAUAUUUAUACAUGGCUCUUCCCUAGGAUCCUCAGGCCUUCAGAUUUAGUCACAGUUUCAGGUUUUGACCAUUUGGCAUGUUUUCCUUUUUUAUAAACUUGUAAAGUUUCAUUUCUUAAACCAUGUACUGACUUUAUAUCCAGGUAUUUCAGAUGUUUCCCUGUAUCGCUCUUACCACUUCUCUCUAAAGCAGCUCAUGUCUCACAGGAAAAAGAAACCCAGUGGUUGUUUUGUAAAUAUAUACACACAUAUUUGUGUAUGUGUGUAUAUAUAUUUAGAUUUAGAUUUCCCCUGGGUUUUUUAGAUUAUGAAUUUUCUUCCUUCUGUUAACUACCCACAAAUGGUUAAAUACUACAGACAUGGUAUACACUCUCUGUUGGGUCUCCUUUCCCUCUGAACUAUAGUUGUAUGCUGGUAGAAAAUUUCCUUAUUGAUCCUUCAGCUUUUCUUAUAGGAAACAUAAGUUGAAGAAUAUGUUUAGAGCAACUGUUUUAUAAAUGUAUUAUUCUGUUUAUGGGGUCUGGUCUGUGUGUUUCUGUGAUGGGAUUUUUACAAUCUCAAAAGUAGUGGAAACAGCUAUAUGAUUCUGCUAUAGAGGGGGAAAUAUGAAAUACUCAUUUUUCCUAUGAUAGGUUGUUGUUUCAAGAAGAAAUUGAUCUCAUAUGACAGCAUAGAUGCUUAAAUAAACAAAGCAUUUUCCUUCUCUGUUCCCCUGGCUUGCCCAAAUUCUGUGGUUAAUGACAUUGGGCUUCUCUGUAGGAUGUGCUCAUGUUCAGCAUCAAUGUAAAUGUUAGAGCCACAACUAAUUCCUAUUAAACUGAAAUUAAAUGUCAAAAACAACUAGUCAUGACUCAAAACAUGGUGAGAGUGUUUUCUUUCUGUUGUCUCUAAGGUGUUUUGUUUCUGGUGAUUCUGAAAUGUCUGGUUGUCUAGAGUGUGAUUGCAGAUAGGGACCUUGUCCAC